CAAACACACACUAGACCCCUCACACACACUACAUCCUUCACAAACACAAUGCAGCCCCGUACACACACUGUACCCCUCACACACACUUAACCCCACACAGAUUGCACCCCUAACACACACAUACAUUGCGCCACACACACCUGCCCCUAUCCUCUACUACAGACCCUCUCCAAACAGUUUGACUACUUACCCUGGGAGGGCACCAUAACCAC